UACGGAGGGGGCUAGCGUUGUUCGGAAUUACUGGGCGUAAAGCGUGUGCAGGCGGGUGGGCAAGUGGUGUAUGAAAUCGCCAGGCUAAACCUGGCGGGGUUAUGCCAGACUGUUUAUCUGGAGUGCGAGAGAGGGGCGUGGAAUUCCGGGUGUAGUGGUGAAAUGCGCAGAGAUCCGGAGGAACCCCAGAGGCGAAGGCGGCGCCCUGGCUCGCAACUGACGCUCAGACACGACAGCAUGGGGAGCGAACGGG
rnacentral:rRNA from 1 species